UCCCAUCUAUGCCUAUCUGGUCUCACUGGAUCUUAUUCCUCUCCCACUCCUCCCUUGUCUAUCUCUCUCCCGUCUAAAUUAAUGAUAAUCUCUUUUUGGUUGAUUUUGAGGACCUUGCAUUUUGAAAUUUGAUUUUAUCACACAGGCGAUGCAAGAUGAGUUACAGUAAAAUUUGUAUUUUCAUUUUCAAUUUCUAAAUGACUCUUUACAUAUGGCCUAUUAUAGGGUUGUAAAUCAAUCCAAUUUUCUCAUAUUCUAAAUAACAGAACCCAGA
rnacentral:lncRNA from 1 species